CACAUGCAGUCGAGCGGUAGAGAGGUGCUUGCCUCUNUGGAGAGCGGCGGACGGGUGAGUAUAUAGCCUAGGAAUCUGCCUGAUAGUGGGGGAUAACGUUCGGAAACGGACGCUAAUACCGCAUACGUCCUACGGGAGAAAGCAGGGGACCUUCGGGCCUUGCGCUAUCAGAUGAGCCUAGGUCGGAUUAGCUAGUUGGUGAGGUAAUGGCUCACCAAGGCUACGAUCCGUAACUGGUCUGAGAGGAUGAUCAGUCACACUGGAACUGAGACACGGUCCAGACUCCUACGGGAGGCAGCAGUGGGGAAUAUUGGACAAUGGGCGAAACGUGAUCCAGCCAUGCCGCGUGUGUGAAGAAGGUCUUCGGAUUGUAAAGCACUUUAAGUUGGGAGGAGGGCAGUUACUUAAUACGUGAUUGUCUUGACGUUACCGACAGAAUAAGCCCCGGCUAACUCUGUGCCAGCAGCCGCGGUAAUACAGAGGGUGCAAGCGUUAAUCGGAAUUACUGGGCGUAAAGCGCGCGUAGGUG
rnacentral:rRNA from 1 species